rnacentral:ribozyme from 14 species
UUUUUUUUUUUUUUUUUUUUUUUUUCAUUUUUUUUUAAUUUAUU